UACGUAGGGUCCGAGCGUUGUCCGGAAUUAUUGGGCGUAAAGAGCUCGUAGGCGGCUUGUCACGUCGGGUGUGAAAGCCCGGGGCUUAACCCCGGGUCUGCAUUCGAUACGGGCUAGCUAGAGUGUGGUAGGGGAGAUCGGAAUUCCUGGUGUAGCGGUGAAAUGCGCAGAUAUCAGGAAGAACACCAAUGGCGAAAGCAGCUUUCUGGGACGGUACUGACGCUGAGACGCGAAAGCGUGGGGAGCGAACAGG
rnacentral:rRNA from 1 species